AGGGAUAAGGCUCUGGGUUGUAAACCUCUUUUAUCAAGGAAGAAGAUCUGACGGUACUUGAUUAAUAAGCCACGGCUAAUUCCAGUGCCAAGCAGCCAGCGGUAAUAACGGGAGUGGCAAAGCGUUAUCCUGGAAUAUAUAUGGGCGUAAAAGCUGUCCGCAAGCAGAGUCUUGUAAAUCUCGUCGUAAAAAGCGUGGAGCUUAACUCACAU
rnacentral:rRNA from 1 species